UGUUUGAAAGCGAGCGAGAGAGAGAGAAAGAGAUGUUGUUGUUCUGCUGUCAGUGUAAAGUCACUUUUCUCUAUUAAUACUGAAUGAGCGCAGUUGGGAUUUCUUUCCUGUUGUUUCGGAUGUUUAACAGCAGCUUUGUUUGAGUCGGACACUUUUGGUUUUUGGAGAAAUAGCCACAUUGACAGUCCAUCAGUGAGACAG
ensembl:processed_transcript